UUUGCAAGGGGUGCUGACGUAAGUCGGCUGAGACAAGAUGUAUUACCAUCUGAUCCCUCAGACCUGAUCCGGAUAAUACCGGCGUAGGAAUGCGAACGU
rnacentral:ncRNA from 1 species